rnacentral:lncRNA from 1 species
GGAAAAAGGGAGUGAGGGGGAAAAGGAGGGGUGGAGAGAGAGAGAGAAUAUGAGAGAUAGAGAGGGAGGGAGAAAGAGAGGGAAAGAGAGAGAGGGUGAGAGAGAGAGCGGGUGAGAGAGGGAGAGGGAGAGAGAGAGAGGGAGAGAGAGGGAGAGAGAGAGAGAGCGAGAGAGAGAGAGAGGGAGAGAGGGAGAGAGAGUGUGUGAGAGAGAGAGAGCAGGUGAGAGGGUGAGAGAGAGAGAGAGAGCAGGUGAGAGAGGGAGAGGGAGAGAGAGAGAGAGAGAGAGGGAGAGAGAGGGAGAGAGAGGGAGAGUGAAAGAGAAGAGAAAAGAGAGAAAAGAGGGAGGGAGGAGGGCUAUGGGUGGAGCUGCAGAGGAACAGUCCAGGGUUUGUUUGCUGAUAUUAUUUUAAUGUCAGAACCCUGUUCCAAUGUAAGCAGCAUGGGAGUACUGGCCAUCACUUCAAUCAUAUCCAGGUCAAUAGCCGUACUGUUUUUGCCAUUGCCGUUAGACUUCUCAUUAAACGUGAAUCAAUAAAGGUUCUAUCCUAUUACCUCCAACAGACACGCCAUUCAUACAGACAGUACUGCAGGUCUGUGGCCCCAGCUCUCCGACCAAUACCUGCGGCAUCAUGAAGUCUAUAUGAGGUGCAAAAGACUGAUACACACUAAGUCACAGGAGGGAAUUAUUGUCCUGGAUAACCCUGGUGGAUUGUCUAGCCUCCUCUCCACUGAGACAUUGGGGAAGGAGUUUAUAGAACUGUUGGAAUUCGGACCCUCCAAAAACUAUUCUGUCUCAAAAUGUUGUUUUCUCUAGCCCUCCUCUUCCUGCUAACCCCGUUUCCCUCCCUUCAAACUCCAGUAACCUAUGAGAAAAGAAAUGCCACAGGAACAGGAAGUGAACCCAAACCCUACGUCCUACUCACCCUCUCCCUCACAAAACCAAAAACCGCAGCCACGCUCGUCAAAGUCACCAAAGAGACCCCUAAGCCCACUCCGAAAGUCCUAAGCCCAACUGCAGCCAAUCAGACACAUCCAGCCCCCACAAACCCCCUCAAACCUCCAACAGCCACGUUCAUCAAACUCACCAAAGAGACCCCUAAGCCCACUCCAAAAGCCCUAAGCCCAACUGCAGCCAAUCAGACACAUCCAGCCCCCUCGACCCCCCUCAAGCCUCCAACAGCCACGUUCAUCAAACUCACCAAAGAGACCCCUAAGCCCACUCCAAAAGCCCUAAGCCCAACUGCAGCCAAUCAGACACAUCCAGCCCCCUCGACACCCCUCAAGCCUCCAAUAGCCACAUUCAUCAAACUCACCAAAGAGACCCCUAAGCCCACUCCAAAAGCCCUAAGCCCAACUGCAGCCAAUCAGACACAUCCUGCCCCCUCGACCCCCCUCAAGCCUCCAACAGCCAUGCUCGUCAAACUCACCAAAGAGACCCCUAAGCCCACUCCGAAAGCCCUAAGCCCAACUGCAGCCAAUCAGACACAUCCUGCCCCCUCAACCCCC